AUCUAUGGUCAUACCACCCUGAACAUGCCCUAUCUCGUCUGAUCUCAGAGGCUAAGCAGGGUUGGACGGUUAGUACUUAGAUGGAGACUGGAGUUUCUUCAGGCAACCUGCC
rnacentral:rRNA from 1 species